GACGAACGCUGGCGGCGUGCUUAACACAUGCAAGUCGAACGGAAAGGCCCUGCUUUUGUGGGGUGCUCGAGUGGCGAACGGGUGAGUAACACGUGAGUAACCUGCCCUUGACUUUGGGAUAACUUCAGGAAACUGGGGCUAAUACCGGAUAGGAGCUCCUGCUGCAUGGUGGGGGUUGGAAAGUUUCGGCGGUUGGGGAUGGACUCGCGGCUUAUCAGCUUGUUGGUGGGGUAGUGGCUUACCAAGGCUUUGACGGGUAGCCGGCCUGAGAGGGUGACCGGCCACAUUGGGACUGAGAUACGGCCCAGACUCCUACGGGAGGCAGCAGUGGGGAAUAUUGCACAAUGGGCGGAAGCCUGAUGCAGCAACGCCGCGUGCGGGAUGACGGCCUUCGGGUUGUAAACCGCUUUCGCCUGUGACGAAGCGUGAGUGACGGUAAUGGGUAAAGAAGCACCGGCUAACUACGUGCCAGCAGCCGCGGUGAUACGUAGGGUGCGAGCGUUGUCCGGAUUUAUUGGGCGUAAAGGGCUCGUAGGUGGUUGAUCGCGUCGGAAGUGUAAUCUUGGGGCUUAACCCUGAGCGUGCUUUCGAUACGGGUUGACUUGAGGAAGGUAGGGGAGAAUGGAAUUCCUGGUGGAGCGGUGGAAUGCGCAGAUAUCAGGAGGAACACCAGUGGCGAAGGCGGUUCUCUGGGCCUUUCCUGACGCUGAGGAGCGAAAGCGUGGGGAGCGAACAGGCUUAGAUACCCUGGUAGUCCACGCUGUAAACGGUGGGUACUAGGUGUGGGGUCCAUUCCACGGGUUCCGUGCCGUAGCUAACGCUUUAAGUACCCCGCCUGGGGAGUACGGCCGCAAGGCUAAAACUCAAAGGAAUUGACGGGGCCCCGCACAAGCGGCGGAGCAUGCGGAUUAAUUCGAUGCAACGCGUAGAACCUUACCUGGGUUUGACAUGGGUCGGGAGUGCUCAGAGAUGGGUGUGCCUCUUUUGGGGUCGGUUCACAGGUGGUGCAUGCCUGUCGUCAGCUCGUGUCGUGAGAUGUUGGGUUAAGUCCCGCAACGAGCGCAACCCUUGUUCACUGUUGCCAGCACGUUAUGGUGGGGACUCAGUGGAGACCGCCGGGGUCAACUCGGAGGAAGGUGGGGAUGACGUCAAGUCAUCAUGCCCCUUAUGUCCAGGGCUUCACGCAUGCUACAAUGGCUGGUACAGAGAGUGGCGAGCCUGUGAGGGUGAGCGAAUCUCGGAAAGCCGGUCUCAGUUCGGAUUGGGGUCUGCAACUCGACCUCAUGAAGUCGGAGUCGCUAGUAAUCGCAGAUCAGCAACGCUGCGGUGAAUAAAUUCCCGGGGCU
rnacentral:rRNA from 1 species